ensembl:lncRNA LINC02685 long intergenic non-protein coding RNA 2685
GGACUCAGGCCAGGCUGGGAGUAGGCUGUCUAGCCAUUGCUGGCUGUCAUUGUCACCAAGGGAAGGGGAGAAGCUGUGAAGAGUUGCUCUGGAAAAAACAAAUCUGCUCAUAGGACAAUGGGUCUGGGUGAACCUAUCCCGGCCCUCUUGGCUGCUGGGCCAGGGCCUGGUUUUUCACAGGGCACCAUUGAGACCACAGGAAGUGGCUUCCUGCCUCUGAAGACAGCACACAACUGCCCUAGAAAGCGCUCUUGUCACCCCUGCUGGCUGAGCCAGACUCCAGGCAGCCUCCAGCCACCCGUGCCUCCGGUUCACCCCUGCCUGCCUGCCCGCCUGCUGCUGUCCUCAGCCAAGCCCUUCUGCAUUCCCCGGCUCGAGGCCCCACUGUACUACCUGCCUAGUUGGGACACUUUUGCAGGAGGGACUGUCGCCUUUCUUUUGCUGGACUUUUAUUUUUUUGAGACAGAGUCUUGCUCUGUUGCCCAGGCUGGAGUGCAAUUGCACAAUCUCGGCUCAUUGCAAGCUCCGCCUCCCAGGUUCAAGUGAUUCUCCUGCCUCAGCCUCCCUAGUUGCUAAGACUACAGGUGCGUGUCCAC